rnacentral:rRNA from 1 species
GGUGAACGCUGACGGCGUGCUUAAGACAUGCAAGUCGAACGGCCUCUUCGUAACCAGUGGCUCACGGGGGAGUAACGCGUACCUGACCUACCCCAAACUCGCGGAUCUCGAUUCUCAAGAAGCGCUAAUACGGGAUGUGCUGUCAGAUCCUGUUCUCCCAGUAAAGAUUUAUUGCUAUGGGAUUGGGUUGAGUUCCAUCGGCUAGUUGGUGGGGUAAAGUCCCACUAAGGCGACGACGGAUCGCCGGCCUGCGAGGGUGGCCAGCCACAGCGGCACUGAGACACGCGUCACACACCUACGGGAGGCAGUAGUUAGGAAGCUCCAACCAUGGGCGACAGCCUGAUGGAGCGACGCAGCGUGAGGGAUGAAGGUAGUCGGAUUGUAAACAUAUGAAACAGGGACGAAAGACGCGCAAGGGGGAGGACGGUACCUGAGUAAUAGCACCGGCUAACUCCGUG